rnacentral:lncRNA from 1 species
CGCCGCGUUACUGGCGCCCGACAGGGAAGCAGGCAGACGAGCCCCUCGGCAGGAGAUAACGGCAGCCACCCCGACACAGGCUCCGAGUCCCGACACGCGACGGCACACCCUCGGCGGCGCCCGUGCAACCUUCGCGGGACCCGGAGCAGGCGGCUCCACGCUGGAGUCACCGAGAGCCUCUUGCGGAGACUGAGGGGAAGGGGCUGGAGCACGCAGACGCGGCGGGGAAGACCCAGAGGGUCGGAGUCCCGAGAGGGGGUGCGCCAGGCCUUCCUCGUCCUGAACUCGGGGCGGGAGAGCACAGAGCCCCAGGGAGAGCGCCGCAGGCUCCGGCUUGACAGAGGCGGAAAAAGCCCGCGUAGCAGAGACAAGCAAGGAGGCCGACCGCAGACGGAGCGGAGCCCACACUGAGGGAGGCGGGCAGAGCCGAGUUCAGACGGAGAGGGGCGGAGAGGGCCGAGUACAGACAAAAAAGGCCAGAGAGAGCCGGGUCCAGGCAGAGCCCGAGGGAGAAAGCCGAGUCCAGCCGGAGAGAGCCGAGAACAGGCGGGAAGAGGCGGAGAAAGCCGGGACCAGACGGAAAAGGGCGGAGAGAGCCGGGUUGAGACGGAGAGGGGCGGAGAGAACCGAGUCCAGAGAACCACAAGGAGAAAGUAAAAAGCAGAGCUUGAAAGGCUGAAGAAUGUUCAAAAUUGGAGUUAACAUUGGGUCACUGCUCAGUUCCCUUGGAUCAGUGACAGGCUUUAAGGAAUGGCUGAGACCUGGAGCCUGCUGUUUUCAGGUCACCCAUCAAGUGAGAACAGGUGGGAAGUUGUCGUAUUGUCCAGUAGGGAAGGAAGCAAUCCAGGCCCUCGUCCCCGGGUAUCAGAGGGGAGUGAGCUAGAUGUUGUUUUCAGAAAAGUUCACAUUGAGCUGA